UGGGGAAUCUUGCGCAAUGGACGAAAGUCUGACGCAGCCACGCCGCGUGAGUGAAGAAGGCCUUCGGGUUGUAAAGCUCUGUCGGAGGGGACGAACAAGUUUUGGGCUAAUACCCCAGAGCUCUGACGGUACCCUCAAAGGAAGCACCGGCUAACUUCGUGCCAGCAGCCGCGGUAAUACGAGGGGUGCAAGCGUUGCUCGGAAUUAUUGGGCGUAAAGGGUAGGUAGGUGGUCUCAUUUGUCUGCGGUGAAAGCCUUGGGCUUAACUCAAGAAGUGCCGCAGAAACGGUGAGACUGGAGUACUGGAGAGGGUCGUGGAAUUCCCGGUGUAGCGGUGAAAUGCGUAGAGAUCGGGAGGAACACCAGAGGCGAAGGCGGCGACCUGGACAGUUACUGACACUCAACUACGAAAGCGUGGGGAGCAAACAG
rnacentral:rRNA from 1 species